rnacentral:lncRNA from 1 species
UAGUGAAUACGAUUGUGCCAAGCUCUUGUCUCAGAUGGUUGGAGCGACUUUUCCAACAGUUCCAUGGGACUCAGGGCACGAUGGUUGUAGGCUCCACUUACUAUCUUGGGAGGUGGUCUACCAGUCAGUGGAGGACAAUGACCUUGGGAUUCAAUCUCUAUUCAUCAAGAGGGCAGUUCUGAUCACCAAGCAUGCUGCC